rnacentral:rRNA from 1 species
AUUGAACGCUGGCGGCAGGCCUAACACAUGCAAGUCGAACGAGUGGCGGACGGGUGAGUAAUGUCUGGGAAACUGCCUGAUGGAGGGGGAUAACUACUGGAAACGGUAGCUAAUACCGCCUACCAUCGGAUGUGCCCAGAUGGGAUUAGCUAGUAGGUGGGGGAAAGGCUCACCUAGGCGAAGAUCCCUAGCUGGUCUGAGAGAAUGACCAGCCACACUGGAACUGAGACACGUUCCAGACUCCUACGGGAGGCAGCAGUGGGGAAUAUUGCACAAUGGGCGCAAGCCUGAUGCAGCCAUGCCGCGUGUAUGAAGAAGGCCUGCGGGGUGUAAAGUACUGUCAGCUGGGAGGCGUUACCCGCAGAAGAAGCACCGGCUAACGCCGUGCCAGCAGCCGCGGUAAUUC